rnacentral:rRNA from 1 species
AUACGGAGGAUCCGAGCGUUAUCCGGAUUUAUUGGGUUUAAAGGGUGCGCAGGCGGGAUGUUAAGUCGGCGGUGAAAUUUUGCCGCUCAACUGUAAAAGGGCCUUUGAAACUGGUUUUCCUGAGUGUAGAUUAAGUAGGCGGAAUUUGUGGUGUAGCGGUGAAAUGCAUAGAUAUCACGAGGAACUCCGAUUGCGCAGGCAGCUUACCAAACUACUACUGACGCUCAGGCACGAAGGCGUGGGGAUCAAACAGGAUUAGAUACCCUGGUAGUCCACGCAGUAAACGAUGAUUACUAGCUGUUUGCGAUACAAUGUAAGCGGCUGAGCGAAAGCGUUAAGUAAUCCACCUGGGGAGUACGUUCGCAAGAAUGAAACUCAAAGGAAUUGACGGGG